UACGUAGGGCGCAAGCGUUGUCCGGAAUUAUUGGGCGUAAAGAGCUCGUAGGCGGCGUGUCGCGUCGGUUGUGAAAGCCCGGGGCUUAACUCCGGGUCUGCAGUCGAUACGGGCAGGCUAGAGUUCGGUAGGGGAGAUCGGAAUUCCUGGUGUAGCGGUGAAAUGACGCAGAUAUCAGGAGGAACACCGGUGGCGAAGGCGGAUCUCUGGGCCGAUACUGACGCUGAGGAGCGAAAGCGUGGGGAGCGAACAGG
rnacentral:rRNA from 1 species